rnacentral:lncRNA from 1 species
GGAAUUCACAGUUUGAAAAGAAAGCAACUUGUUUUUGUAAGACUCAUUUCCAGAGAGCCAGCUCCUCUGUUUCCAUUUGCACCAGAUGACUUCAGGUCAGCAGAAUAUGGAAAGGACAGUCUCAGCCAAGGCUCCAAGAGCCUAGGCUAACAAGGCCCUAGGGGAAAGGCCUUCAAAGGGUACACAGAUUACUUACUGUGUCUGCCAGUGAAACUGACCAAAAGGAAGCAGACCUGCCGGUGCAGGCCAGGCACCAGGAAGUGUGAAAAUGCCGUGUUAAUGGCCACUGACUGUGGACACUCCUACAAGCUGUUCUUUGGAAGUCUGAUCUGGUUUGGCUGAAGGGCUGUGCCAGUAAGAACCACUUCCACCCAGCUGCUCUGCAGAAUUGGGGCAUCAGGAAGUUUGACAACGUGCUUUUCAUGAUCAUCAACAGUUGAAGAACCUGGAAUUCAAAGAAGGUCCCACAUGCAGUGAGUGAUGAGCAGAACCUGGGCUCCACCCAGGCCUGACUGAUGCUAGAGCUUUAAUUACUUCACUACUGCUCAGACUGAGAGAAUGGCCACUGACAUUGGUGGAGAAUGCAGCAGAGCUCAUCACCUUCACCACCAGGCUGUCUGCUCCCUCAUCCAUCCUGAAGGGUCUCCAAUCACCAAAAAGACUCUAUUCCUCCUAUGCAUAUCAGCAACAUUGAGCCAGGAAACUCUCCAUAAACCCCACUUAUUCAAGCCACACAAUAGACCACUCAUGGGGAGGAUGUUCCUCCUCCCACCUCCCAUGUCACUGAAGGUUGGGAGUCCGUGUUCUCCCGGCUUGUAUCACCACUUCUGGAUUAGAUUUCCUCACUCCUUCCAUACAGUUCCCACUUACUGAAAGUGUUUGCCUGUGAUUCCACCUUGGGGUACUCCUAGCACUUGAUCAAAAGACUUUAUGUCCUGGCCAAUCCUCUAAAUUCUCUGAAGAUUGGCCUCUGCCUUUCCAUCUUCUCCCACCACAGGCAUUGCUAUUAUUGGUGAUUUCGGCAUUGGGUGAUCCUUUCAACAACCUAGCUUUGCAGAUUCCUUGCCCUCUUCAUCCCCUAUGGUCUCAAUUUCUUCACUUUGGCCACAUUAUCCCAAUUCACUGAUCCACAAUAUACUAUUUUAUAGGCCUUCUAGGAACUUCCAGUUUACCGACUCCUUUACUUUCUCCUUACUUCUCAGGACUCCCCUGUUUCCACUUCUCUCAUUAUCUAGCUAAGAUUUUAUUGAUAAUCACAUUAAUUACUGUCUUCAAAAUCUUUAAUUUCUUAAGUUGUAAUUAUCUUAUUAUGAGUCAUCUGUAAAACUUCAAACCUGAAUAAACUCAACUUGCUAUUUUCUCAACCUUGCAGUUGGGUUGCUGAGUAAUUGUGGAAAGAAAAAAAAAAUCGCUCUCAAUUGGAAAUGCUCUUAAUUCAUGGUCCUCAACCUUAACUAGGUCCUUAAUAAUGCCCAGGGAUCUAUUAUGUUUCUAUGGGAAGUACUUUCCCCUUUUCUGAGGCAGCAUAUUUCAAACUGUCUUCUUUGCUCUCAAACCUAUGACUCCCACCUCUCUCGCUUAGUCUCCGUAUGACCUUGACUCCACAGAAAAAAACAAAAGCCAUCAGUCAAAGCUCCCUCAACUUUGUGUCAUAAAAGUUACACACGUAUUUGCAUCUUCACUCAUUACUUCCUUCCACGCUCCUGAUAGACCGAAAGGAAUGUCCUUUAUCUUACCAAAAACUGGAUCCCAUACUCUGGAUCUCAUCCUUUUUGAUGUUCAGAAGAAUGUCACUCCACUUAUAUCCCUUCUCUAGUGGCUACAUCCCAUUAGCAUGUAGAGGUAGCAUGAUGCUUUGUUUUGGGGCUUUAACGUCACCUACAGCCAGAAUUGUAAUGGUAAUAACAAUACUUUUUACUAAGUACUUAUUUUAUGGCUACACCAUGAUGUUUGACGGUCACAAACUUCGACCAUCUUGGGCCUUCCUGUUUCGUGUUUCCCCAUCUCUCCGGUUGAUCUCAUGCUCUUUUGUGAUGAUUUCAAUGAGUUCAUUUACCCAAACCUGUAUCUCUAUCUCAAGUCAGUUUUCUGUGCUCCAGGCUUUAUUUCAAUGGUCUUUUACAGACUGCGCUGGGAUAUCUCAAAGGUACUUUAUAUUCAAUAUUUAUAACGUCUCCCUUCUUCUCCCCCAGCCUUUCACUAAGCCCAUUUCUUUGCUCAUGUAUUUCAAUUUCAAUGAAUAGUGCCAUAAUUUUCCCAGUUAAUCAAUUUAGAAAAGUAAUAACAUCCUUGUCCUCCUUCUUUGCCUCAGUUUUCACAUGUAACAAUUAUUAAAUUCUCCAAAUUCCGUUUCUCAACUGUACGUUGAAUAAGCCUACUCAUGUCUAACUUCAGGUUUACUCACAGGCCACCCUCUGCUCUCUCACUCCAAGUUCAAGGUAUACAUUACCCACUCCUUGUAUCAUUUCCCACACCCCCAUCCCUUUUACAUAUUCUUCCAUCUGUUUUCCACUCUAAUACUACCUUUCCUGGCCCCAAGGCUGAGUUGGGUACCUCUUCUCUCUGAAUCCAUAGCAUUGUGAUUACCAUUAUCAUAUCAGUUACACUGUUUCUUUAUUUUUUAAAUUUCCUGUUUACUCACCUAUUUCACUCACUGUCUAGUUCAUCACUUUGUCUUGAAUAACUAGACUAGCCUUUGGCACAUAAUAAGUGAUAAAUCUAUAUUGGUUGAAAAAAUGGCCCAUUUUAGGCCAUAACUUUGUUUUCUAUUAGUUGUACAGUGACGUUCAAAAUUGUAUCACUCAACAAGUGUAUAACGUUUAAAAGUCAGCUUCACUGAGGUAUGUUUACAUGCAAUAAAACCUACCAAGAUUGAGUGCAUAUUUCAAUGAGUUUAGACAAAUGUAUGUAACCACAACUACAAUAGUAAUAAUAUAGAGCAUUUCUAUCACUGCAAAAAAUACCCUUGUCUCUGCAAUAAAUUCCUUCUCCACUCCCUCAGGCUCUUGGCAGUGAUUUAUCUGUUUCUGUCACUAUAGUUUUGCCUUUUCUAAAAUUUCACAAAAUUUUAAUCAUAGUGUGUAGUCUUCUGACUCUGGCUUCUUUCACUUAGAAUAAUGCAUUCAUUAUGUUGUGCAUAUCAGUAGUUGGUUCAUUUUUAUUUGCAGAAUAAUAUUCUAUUGUAUUAAUAUGCCACACUUUUCUUAUCCAUUCACCAAUUAAUGAAUAUUUAGGUCAUUUCACUUAUGUUAUCAGUUAUUAUGAAUAAAGCUGCUGGGACCAUUCAAGUAAAAAUCUUUGUGUGGACAGACGUUUACAUUUCUCUAGGGUAACCACGUAGGAGUGGAAUUUCUGGAUCAUAUUGUAAGCAUUUGUUGAACAUUAUAAGAAAUUGCCAAACUUUUCCAAAAUAUUGUGCAUUCCCAUUAGCAACAUUUGAGUUUCCAGUUGUUGCACUUCUCACCAAAACUUAAAAUCAUUUUUUAAAAUCAUAGCCGUUGUAAUGGUUGUGCAGUGGCAUCUCACUAUGGUUUUAAUUUGUAUUUUCAUGAUGUCUAAUGAUGCUUAACAUGUUUCCAUAAGCUUAUUGGUCAUUUGUGUCUUCUUUUGUAAAGUGUCUGCUAAAAUUUUUUGCCAAUAUUUAUUGAGCAGUUUAUCUUCUUAUUUUUAAGCUGUAAAUGUUCUUAUAUAUAUAUUCU